CAACAUUAAGGGUGAAUCCACGUUGAAUCUGCGAUAUAUGGAACAUGGCUAUGAACAAGUGUCGACGCCGAUAUCCUGCGGACGAAAUCAACAGGAUCAGCCCAAAGGUGUGAUUGUUUGCUGGCCGCCACGCAAAAAACUACAUAACUGGGCCACAUUGAAGCUGAUCGUCUGGCUUGCGGCCCACGCCUUGUAUCCUACCCAGUGGCAGCUCGAUUCCUUUGAAAAGACCGCCUUGGAGCUUGAAGCAAAGGGCCAAGGUGCCUUUGAAAAAAAAUUCUGUUAUCGAACAGGACUGGGAGUCAAUCUUAUAAAGUAACGUGUCUGCGGGAAGUCGCAAAUCCAAAGCAUUCUUCCAGGUCUGGGGACGACGGCGAACGUCCCACCGAACCCUCCGAGGGUCUCGCCUCUCUUCUUCCGUCCUCUGCAGGGUGGUCCCCACCAGUCGCUCCUUUGAGCCCUGCCUCAGGCUUAACCUGAUCAGUCAUAUUUUGGGGAUAGACUUAUUCAGAAAAAAAUGGCGAGGGGGAGUCCUAAACCCCAGCUCUUUUCCUACUUUUUUCUCCAAGUCCGUAAGUGGGGUGUGAAAAAAUAAAUUGGCCAGGGGGACUUCUUGGGUCUGGAAUUUUUUAUUUUUCCCAGGUAAAUCCUAGGGUGCUGAAAAUAAGGGGCAAACUGGGGAUUCCUUUGCCAGCAGCCGUAGAUUAACUUAAUCAGAUUCUUGUAUGCGAUCCAAGGAAGAGGGGUGUACUUGGUUACCUCAGAGCCUUGUACCUGGGCGACUAUUUCAUCAUAGGCAACCAAGCGGGAUUAAUUGGAAAGGGAGAGGACACAGAUUACCAAGAUGCAUAUACAAGAACAAAAAGAAUUUAGAUUAACCUAGUAGUGGUUCCUUGAACCUUAAAAUUAGUUUUUCCAACGGACCAGAACACUUAAAAUCCACCUUAUGAAGUACUGGGCCAACGGCCGAACAAUUAUUGUUAGUUCUUUCUAAGUUAGUGGCCAACGGGCCUAACAAUUAGUUAAAAGUUACUUCCUAACGGUUAACUCCAGGGAUGCCAGAGGUUUUGCUUAGAAAACCCCAAAGAAAUUAAAUUAGUAUUAUGGUUUAGAAUUAAAAAGACUGCUUAACUUAGGACUAGGGUUUUAAGGAGAGCCGAAUUUUCUGUUCCACUUAAGGUUGGGAACCUAGGUCCUUAAGUGGCAAUGGGACGGGGCAAAAAUUGGAAUACACAAUGUACCGUAACAACUUAAAAAAGCA